UGGGGAAUUUUGGACAAUGGGCGAAAGCCUGAUCCAGCAAUGCCGCGUGUGUGAAGAAGGCCUUCGGGUUGUAAAGCACUUUUGUCCGGAAAGAAAUCCUCUGGGUUAAUACCUCGGGGGGAUGACGGUACCGGAAGAAUAAGCACCGGCUAACUACGUGCCAGCAGCCGCGGUAAUACGUAGGGUGCAAGCGUUAAUCGGAAUUACUGGGCGUAAAGCGUGCGCAGGCGGUUUUGUAAGACGGAUGUGAAAUCCCCGGGCUCAACCUGGGAACUGCAUUGGUGACUGGCAGGCUAGAGUAUGGCAGAGGGGGGUAGAAUUCCACGUGUAGCAGUGAAAUGCGUAGAGAUGUGGAGGAAUACCGAUGGCGAAGGCAGCCCCCUGGGCCAAUACUGACGCUCAUGCACGAAAGCGUGGGGAGCAAACAGGAUUAGAUACCCUGGUAGUCCACGCCCUAAACGAUGUCAACUAGUUGUUGGGGAUUCAUUUCCUUAGUAACGUAGCUAACGCGUGAAGUUGACCGCCUGGGGAGUACGGUCGCAAGAUUAAAACUCAAAGGAAUUGACGGGGUCAUGGCUGUUUCC
rnacentral:rRNA from 1 species